rnacentral:rRNA from 1 species
GCACUUCGGGAUAAGCCUGGGAAACUGGGUCUAAUACCGAAUAUGACCAUGGCAUGCAUGUGCUGUGGUGGAAAGCUUUUGCGGUGUGGGAUGGGCCCGCGGCCUAUCAGCUUGUUGGUGGGGUGAUGGCCUACCAAGGCGACGACGGGUAGCCGGCCUGAGUGGGUGUCCGGCCACACUGGGACUGAGAUACGGCCCAGACUCCUACGGGAGGCAGCAGUGGGGAAUAUUGCACAAUGGGCGCAAGCCUGAUGCAGCGACGCCGCGUGGGGGAUGACGGCCUUCGGGUUGUAAACCUCUUUCACCAUCGGCGAAGCCGGGAGCUUUUGUUUCUGGUGACGGUAGGUGGUGAAGAAGCACCGGCCAACUACGUGCCAGCAGCCGCGGUAAUACGUAGGGUGCGAGCGUUGUCCGGAAUUACUGGGCGUAAAGAGCUCGUAGGUGGUCUGUCGCGUUGUCCGUGAAAUUCCCUGGCUUAACUGGGGGCGUGCGGGCGAUACGGGCAGACUGGAGUACUGCAGGGGAGACUGGAAUUCCUGGUGUAGCGGUGGAAUGCGCAGAUAUCAGGAGGAACACCGGUGGCGAAGGCGGGUCUCUGGGCAGUAACUGACGCUGAGGAGCGAAAGCGUGGGGAGCGAACAGGAUUAGAUACCCUGGUAGUCCACGCCGUAAACGGUGGGUACUGGGUGUGGGUUUCCUU